rnacentral:rRNA from 1 species
GCCAGGAGGUUGGCUUAGAAGCAGCCAUCCUUUAAAGAAAGCGUAACAGCUCACUGGUCAAGUCGGCCCGCGCGGAAGAUUCAACGGGGCUCAAGCUAUGCACCGAAGCUGCGGACGUGCACUUUCUUCGGAUUGUGCACGUGGUAGAGGAGCGUUCUGUACGCCUGCGAAGGUGUGUCGCGAGACAUGCUGGAGGUAUCAGAAGCGCGAAUGCUGACAUGAGUAACGAUAAUGCGGGUGAAAAACCCGCACGCCGUAAACCCAAGGGUUCCUGCGCUACGUUAAUCGGCGCAGGGUUAGUCGGCCCCUAAGGCGAGACCGAGAGGUGUAGUCGAUGGGAAGCAGGUCAAUAUUCCUGCACCGCUUGUUACUGCGAUGAGGGGACGGAGGAGGCUAGGCUAGCCGGGCGUUGGUUGUCCCGGUUUAAGCGUGUAGGGAGUGUUCUUAGGCAAAUCCGGGAGCACAAUUCCGAGACGUGACGACGAGUCCCUUUUUAGGGGCGAAGUAGCCGAUGCCAAGCUCCCAGGAAAAACCUCUAAGCUUCAGGUAACGAGGACCGUACCGUAAACCGACUCUGGUGGGUGAGGAGAAAAUCCUAAGGCGCUUGAGAGAACUCGGAUGAAGGAACUCUGCAAAAUUGUGCCGUAACUUCGGGAGAAGGCACGCCCUUAAUGGUGAAGGACUUCGCGUCCGGAGCUGAUGAGGGUCUCAGAAAAUCGGUGGCUGCGACUGUUUACUAAAAACACAGCACUCUGCGAACACGUAAGUGGAAGUAUAGGGUGUGACGCCUGCCCGGUGCCGGAAGGUUAAUUGAUGGGGUUAGCCGCAAGGCGAAGCUCCUGAUCGAAGCCCCGGUAAACGGCGGCCGUAACUAUAACGGUCCUAAGGUUAAAGAUGAUUCGCUAGCCUUAGUAAAACCGAGCUAUAUGCGGGAAACUCCUCAAAAACUCUUCGGUACUCGCCGGUUCUCGCCGGCAGUAAAAAUCCAAGAGGCAUGGGGACAAUCCGCAGGGAAGGCCUGGUUGUGCCAGGAACCCUCAGAGACUUUACGCUCGGGAGCUCCCAAUGAAUCUCGAUGCUCAAUGGAUCACAGGCUUCGUGGAUGGUGAAGGUUGCUUUCACGUCGGCAUCAACGCCAACGCGGAAAUGACCGUCGGUUUUCAAGUGUUACCGGAAUUCACCGUCGUGCAACACGAACGCGAUGUUCAGGUGCUUCAUGCCCUGAAGGCUUAUUUCGGUUGCGGGGUGGUUCGAGUGAAUCACGGCGAUCGAAUGGCGUUCAGAGUCCGUAGCAAGGAGCACUUGCUCAAGAACAUCGUUCCAUUCUUCAUCGAGCAUCCGCUGAAAACGAAGAAGAACGUCGACUUUCAAAAAUUUCGACAGGUUCUUUUGAUGAUGGAAGCGGAUAGGCAUUUGACACGUGAUGGAAUUGAAGAGAUUCGAUCCAUUGCUGCGCAAAUGAAUAGAGGGAAGCUCAAGAUAAAGUCCGACUGUUCUGGAAACAGAAGAGAGUAAUCGAGCGAAAUUCCUUGUCGGGUAAGUAACAUUGCCCCGGCCGAAAGCGAUUUUGGCCAGUACACCGGCUCAAAUCGGUGAAACCCAAGUAGUGCUAUGCAGGGCACUGCGGGCGAUACCGAGGGUAAGACCACAUUGAUUGUGGUCCCCGUAACGACUCAGGAUUGAGAACCCUGGAUGGAACACCCGUUCCAUAACACGCCGGCCCUGAUCUUUGAGUUCGUGAGUGUUCUCAGCUCACGGCGAUCAGGUGAAGGUAUAGUCUACGCCCCGCGGAAACGUGGGGGUUUAACGUGAAGUUCCGACCUGCACGAAUGGCGUAACGAUGGCCACACUGUCUCCAUCCGAGACUCAGUGAAGUUGAAAUCGCUGUGAAGAUGCAGUGUACCCGCGGCAAGACGGAAAGACCCCGUGAACCUUUACUAUAACUUUGCACUGAAUUUUGAAUUUGUCUGUGUAGGAUAGGUGGGAGGCUUUGAAGCGGCGACGCUAGUCGUCGUGGAGCCACCGUUGAAAUACCACCCUGAUAAAUUCGGAGUUCUAACCUUGGCCCGUCAUCCGGGUUGGGGACAGUGCAUGGCGGGUAGUUUGACUGGGGCGGUCUCCUCCCAAAGAGUAACGGAGGAGCACAAAGGUACCCUCAGCGCGGUCGGACAUCGCGCAGUGAGUGCAUAGGCACAAGGGUGCUUGACUGCGAGACAGACAAGUCGAGCAGGGACGAAAGUCGGUCUAAGUGAUCCGGUGGUUCUGUAUGGAAGGGCCAUCGCUCAACGGAUAAAAGGUACUCCGGGGAUAACAGGCUUAUUCCUCCCAAGAGUCCACAUCGACGGAGGAGUUUGGCACCUCGAUGUCGGCUCAUCACAUCCUGGGGCUGUAGCAGGUCCCAAGGGUUCGGCUGUUCGCCGAUUAAAGUGGUACGCGAGCUGGGUUUAGAACGUCGUGAGACAGUUCGGUCCCUAUCUGCCGUGGGCGUUGGAAAUUUGAGGGGAGCUGCUCCUAGUACGAGAGGACCGGAGUGGACGUACCUCUGGUGUUCCGGUUGUCACGCCAGUGGCACCGCCGGGUAGCUAUGUACGGAAGGGAUAACCGCUGAAAGCAUCUAAGCGGGAAGCCCACCCCAAGAUUAGAUUUCCCUGGGGACUCGAUCCCCCUGAAGGGCCCUCGUAGACUACGAGGUUGAUAGGCUGGGUGUGGAAGUCGAGUAAUCGAUGAAGCUAACCAGUACUAAUUGCCCGUGAGGCUUGACCAUAUAACACCCAAACGGUU